rnacentral:rRNA from 1 species
AAUAGAUACCCCGGUAGUCCAUGCCGUAAACGAUGUCUACUAGCCGUUGGGGCCUUUGAGGCUUUAGUGGCGCAGCUAACGCGAUAAGUAGACCGCCUGGGGAGUACGGUCGCAAGACUAAAACUCAAAUGAAUUGACGGGGGCCCGCACAAGCGGUGGAGCAUGUGGUUUAAUUCGAUGCAACGCGAAGAACCUUACCUGGUCUUGACAUAGUAAGAACUUUCCAGAGAUGGAUUGGUGCCUUCGGGAACUUACAUACAGGUGCUGCAUGGCUGUCGUCAGCUCGUGUCGUGAGAUGUUGGGUUAAGUCCCGCAACGAGCGCAACCCUUUUCCUUAUUUGCCAGCGGGUUAAGCCGGGAACUUUAAGGAUACUGCCAGUGACAACGUGGAGGAAGGCGGGGACGACGUCAAGUCAUCAUGGCCCUUACGACCAGGGCUACACACGUGCUACAAUGGUCGGUACAAGGGUUGCUACCUAGCGAUAGGAUGCUAAUCUCAAAAAGCCGAUCGUAGUCCGGUAUUGGAGUCUGCAACUCGACUCC